CGGAAGCUGCGGGCCGGCGUGAAGGAGGUGGUGCUGGCCGACCUCUGGAACUCCGUUCCGGAGCUGACUUUCGCCCCGCCCCGUUUUGUCAGGUCCUCCAGCGCGUCGUCAGUCCCGCUGGGAAGCUGUCAGUCAUGGCGCUGUCCUCGCGACUGUGGCGUCGUCUCCCUCCACUCCGCGUCUGUCAGCAGACGAGGACCUGGGGCAGCCGUGGGCGCUGUGGCGCCUGGGGAGUCCGCGCUUGCGAGGUAACCCGCUGUCCUGGUCCUGCUCGCUCCAUCAAGCAGGGCGUCGGGGGCGCCCCCAUCGCCAGGUCUGGAGGUGCGGCACCCGGCCCGAGGGUCGUGGAGCUUCCGCUUUGCAAACCUCCGCUGAGACAGCUGGCCUCAUGACUGAGGGGUGCGUCCUCUCUGCCCUUCCAGUCCCAAAAUAGAACGGGAAGGUGAAAGAACUUUGACCGUUUUGAGAAAGUCGACCGUCUCUGGACUCAGGUUAUUACCUCGGGCAGCUCUGCCCGGUGGCUCAAUGCUGUAGUCCCAACUACUGGAGAGUCCAGAGAAGGAGGAUCGCAAAUUCAAGGUUGGCUUGGGAUGUGUCGAGCCAGUUCAGGGCUAGUCUGGGCCAUUUAGUAAGCGCUUGUCCCAAAAUAAACAGGAGAAGGAAAAAAAAAAAAGAAAGAAAG
rnacentral:lncRNA from 1 species